GGGGUUGACUGGUUUUGACAGCGUGUCGAGGUGGUGUGUAAGCGUGCAGAGCCAUGGUGUACAGACUCUUAAAACCUGACAUCGAACAAUUUAAUUGGCGAAAACAAUCUCGCUCUCGCUGCUUGAUUGAAGUACAGUAGAUCAGCUUAAUCCCCGCGACAGUCGCAGGGACGGGACAUCACCCGAUUGCCGUCUUCUCGAGGCGUAUCGACCCGGUGGUGUAAGAAAAUCGAGAAUAGGACUCGGUGAGCCUCGUGACCGAGACCGAAAUAAUAGAGGAUAAGGAUAUGUUUGGUCGUCUUCGGCCUGGCAUGUCACGAAAACCAAACGAAGAAUACGCACGUAGAAAGCACAUUAGUUCCACGUUUGGACGAGGGUUCAAGUCCCUCCAACUCCACA
rnacentral:tmRNA from 1 species